rnacentral:rRNA from 1 species
ACGAACGCUGGCGGCGUGCUUAACACCUGCAAGUCGAACGGAAAGGCCCUGCUUUUGUGGGGUGCUCGAGUGGCGAACGGGUGAGUAACACGUGAGUAACCUGCCCUUGACUUUGGGAUAACUUCUGGAAACUGGGGCUAAUACCGGAUAGUAGCUCCUGCUGCAUGGUGGGGGUUGGAAAGUUUCGGCGGUUGGGGAUGGACUCGCGGCUUAUCAGCUUGUUGGUGGGGUAGUGGCUUACCAAGGCUUUGACGGGUAGCCGGCCUGAGAGGGUGACCGGCCACAUUGGGACUGAGAUACGGCCCAGACUCCUACGGGAGGCAGCAGUGGGGAAUAUUGCACAAUGGGCGGAAGCCUGAUGCAGCAACGCCGCGUGCGGGAUGACGGCCUUCGGGUUGUAAACCGCUUUCGCCUGUGACGAAGCGUGAGUGACGGUAAUGGGUAAAGAAGCACCGGCUAACUACGUG